rnacentral:rRNA from 1 species
AGCAGCCGCGGUAAUUCCAGCUCCAAUAGCGUAUAUUAAAGUUGUUGCAGUUAAAAAGCUCGUAGGUGAAUUUCGGGGUUAGUAGGUUGGUCAUGCCUCUGGUAUGUACUGGUCUCACUGGUUCCUCCUUCCUGAUGAGCCGUAAUGCCAUUAAUUUGGUGUUGCGGGGAAUUUGGACUGUUACUUUGAAAAAAUUAGAGUGUUUAAAGCAAGCUAACGCUUGAAUACAUUAGCAUGGAAUAAUGAAAUAGGACGUUCGAUCCUAUUUUGUUGGUUUCUAGGAUUGACGUAAUGAUUAAUAGGGAUAGUUGGGGGCAUUAGUAUUCAAUUGCCAGAGGUGAAAUUCUUGGAUUUAUUGAAGACUAACUACUGCGAAAGCAUUUGCCAAGGAUGUUUUCAUUAAUCAAGAACGAAAGUUAGGGGAUCGAAGACGAUCAGAUACCGUCGUAGUCUUAACCAUAAACUAUGCCGACUAGGGAUCGGAUGAUGUUAAUUUUUUAAUGACUCAUUCGGCGCCUUA